AAACCGUUGUGUUACAACACGUAGUGAUUACUGUAGACAGAAAUAUAGACAUGAUAUCAUUGAGAAGACACAUAUAAGCUCGUAUUUAUCCUGGCCACUUAAAAAAACUCGGGUAUUUUGUUCACUUUUGACAGUAAAGGUCUACUUUUAUCGAUAAAGCCUGCUAUUUUUGUCCUUCAGGUGGGGCAAAUGCAUAUAGGAAAAUGCUAAUUCCAGUUGUAUUUCAGAAGGAAUUGUACAGAUGCUGUGCUUUAUUUUCUUCAAACUGGCACGAGGGAGACUAUGACCUUGCGUAGUUGAACUGAUGUCUUGGGGGAGAAGAACGUAGGAGAUGCUGGGUUCGGGAUGUUUUGAUCUACAUUUUGUUACUUUAGUGACAACUCCUAGUGAAAUUUUUGUAUAUUCUCUUGGUAUUUGGGAAAAUCUCGAACUUGAAUUUAAUCUUCAUUCUAUCAUGAAACAUGUUUCGUUUUAGCAUUCUGAUUGUAGUUAGAUAAUAAUGAGAAAAAUUAUGGUCCAGUAAAUUGAUAAUAAGUCUUUCAAAGAUUUGGAUUAUUCGAAUAUAAUAAAAAUA
rnacentral:lncRNA from 1 species